UGACAGUACUCCUACGGGGAGGCAGCAGUGGGGGAAUAUUGCACAAUGGGCGCAAGCCUGAUGCAGCCAUGCCGCGUGUGUGAAGAAGGCCUUCGGGUUGUAAAGCACUUUCAGUCGUGAGGAAGGUAGUGUAGUUAAUAGCUGCAGUAUUUGACGUUAGCGACAGAAGAAGCACCGGCUAACUCCGUGCCAGCAGCCGCGGUAAUACGGAGGGUGCGAGCGUUAAUCGGAAUUACUGGGGCGUAAAGCGCAUGCAGGUGGUUUGUUAAGUCAGAUGUGAAAGCCCGGGGCUCAACCUCGGAAUAGCAUUUGAAACUGGCAGACUAGAGUACUGUAGAGGGGGGUAGGAAUUUCAGGUGUAGCGGUGAAAUGCGUAGAGAUCUGAAGGAAUACCGGUGGCGAAGGCGGCCCCCUGGACAGAUACUGACACUCAGAUGCGAAAGCGUGGGGAGCAAACAGGAUUAGAUACCCUGGUAG
rnacentral:rRNA from 1 species